GACGAACGCUGGCGGCGUGCUUAACACAUGCAAGUCGAACGGAAAGGCCCCUUUGGGGGUACUCGAGUGGCGAACGGGUGAGUAACACGUGAGUAACCUGCCCUUGACUUCGGGAUAACUUCAGGAAACUGGGGCUAAUACCGGAUAGGAAUCCUUGCUGCAUGGUGGGGGUUGGAAAGCUUCGGCGGUUUUGGAUGGACUCGCGGCUUAUCAGCUUGUUGGUGGGGUAGUGGCUUACCAAGGCUUUGACGGGUAGCCGGCCUGAGAGGGCGACCGGCCACAUUGGGACUGAGAUACGGCCCAUACUCCUACGGGAGGCAGCAGUGGGGAAUAUUGCACAAUGGGCGGAAGCCUGAUGCAGCAACGCCGCGUGCGGGAUGACGGCCUUCGGGUUGUAAACCGCUUUCAGCAGGGGCGAAGCUUGUGGUGACGGUACCUGCAGAAGAAGCACCGGCUAACUACGUG
rnacentral:rRNA from 1 species